CCUACCGCCGCCAGCCUCCCUUGCCUCUGAUCUGCUCCGGAUCAUCCCGACGGCGGCGGCGGCGCUCUUGAUGCGGCCCGGCCAUCACGGCAGCGGCGCUCCGGCACGGCCCGACCAUCCCAUCGCGCGUCCCAGUUCCUGCAGAGCACCUCCUCAUCCCCUUUCCCCGCUCCGGAUCCUCCUCACGGCGGCGGCGCUCCGGACGCGGACGCGGCCACCCCAUCGCCCGCCCUAGUUGAUUCGACCAUCGCCGUCGCCACCUCCUCCCCUCGCCUCCUCGCCGCCGUCGCCAUGCCCAUUGCCCCCGAGCAGCACCUGUCCAAUGGCUCGGGAAGGAGUACGCCCGUCUACCACCGGUCCCUCCCCCGCCCUCCUGCCGCCGCCAUGGCCAUGGCCUGACGAUAGCUCACCUUCCCGCCAUGGCCAACCUCCGGUGAAGAAGCUCGCCGUGCCUACCAACGCCCCAGUUCCGGUGGGUUGCUCCGAGUUGCUUAGUAGCUUACCUUCAAUCGUUGGGUCAACGCAUCUGCAGAUGAAGAAGAAACUGAAGAAAUCCCCUUUAAAGUCUGCCCCACCUCAGCUCAUCCUUUUCACAUCAUCUUCGAGCAUGGAUGGACGUCUCCCAUAGGGUGUUCAUAGUGCUUCCGCUGGUGCUGCUCACUUCAACCAUCUUGGUUAUUCUUCCCUUGUUGCAUGCCCACGUGCCUCAUGUUUACAGCUCCUACUG